UCCGCAACAAAAAUGCGCCAACCUCGUGAGAGUGGGCUCUUAUGCGAUUGAACGUUCAAACUUGAUUACGACAACAAGGCCGCAAAUUUUUCUUGCCGUCCCUCUCUUUUGUCUUUGGAUCACUUGCUGCUUUCACUGCUUUGGUUUUGAAGGUAGUAUAUUUAGGGAUAAUAAGGGAUAACGCAUUUUGGUUGCUUGGUUUCAAAGUGCAAAACAAUAUGGCGAACAUUUCUCAACUUUCUGCUUUACAAGAAUUACUUAAACCACCGGAUAACGAACCAGAAGAUAUUAGUUCCUGUGAAUUGAAGCCAAACACUCAGACACCUGGCCAUAUUGGGACGGCUAAGAAAAUAUCGCAGGGAAGAGAUAAAGAUGAAAAACAUUCAAAUAAUAUCUGGGGUGAAGAGGAAAUUCCAGAAGGUGAAUUACCAAGUGAUGACCUGGGUGGCAGAAUUGUUCCUGUAUAUGAAAUGUUAUUCAAACAGAGAGUAACAUCUGAAGAUAUUUUCCUGGGAAUGGGGAAUAAGAACCCAUCAACAGCCUGUUGUGAGGAUUUAAUUGUUAAAAUUGAUUUACCAGAAACAGAAUAUGCUGAUGUAAAUUUAAAUGUCACAGAUACUUUUUUGGAUUGUCAAACACCAAAAUACAAACUUGGAGUACACUUUCCUAAACAUGUAGAAAGCAAAAAUGGCAAGGCACAGUGGUAUUCAGAAAAAUGUCUAUUAACAGUGAGUGUACCAUUAUGGAGAGAAUAUGACUUUCUUAAUAUGGAUUCAAGAUAACGAAAUAUAUCCACACAUAAGCUACAGUAUGUAAUGCUUUGUGGAACCUGGCUCACAGAGUCUUCUCACUGGUAAAAGGAAGAGACUGUGACUAAAAAUGUGGCUGUGUUUAGUUCGGUGUGGUUUGGCAUGAGACACUUGCUUCAAAACG
rnacentral:misc_RNA from 1 species